AUACGUAGGGGGCGAGCGUUGUCCGGAAUUACUGGGCGUAAAGGGUGCGUAGGCGGCAUGUUAAGUCUGGAGUGAAAGUCCUGCUUUCAAGGUGGGAAUUGCUUUGGAAACUGGCGGGCUGGAGUGCAGGAGAGGUUAGCGGAAUUCCCGGUGUAGCGGUGAAAUGCGUAGAGAUCGGGAGGAACACCAGUGGCGAAGGCGGCUAACUGGACUGUAACUGACACUGAGGAGCGAAAGCGUGGGGAGC
rnacentral:rRNA from 1 species